rnacentral:sRNA from 1 species
UUUGAAAAGAGCCCAAUCAACUAUACCAAACCGAACCAAGCUCUUAAAUCAAAAUCGACCCGAGCUAAUAAACUGACUAAACCGAUCUACUAUGAAGCCCUAAUCUUCAAUCGGAAAAUCCAAAAAAGCCGCCGGCCAACAGAUCUGCGAAUAUUCUUCGGAAUAGGACUUCCGACGAGUCUGGACAAUGCGAGCCGAACGGAGAUGGUAACACAGAUUUCGUCGCCAUCCCACGACUGUAGAGCAAUAUAUGAUUGAUUGUUGAUUUUUAUGGUCUGUGUGUGGGUUUGUUGAUCUAAAUCUUAUUGUAUUGUAAGAUCAAAAGCCAAGAAACGAAAGAUCCGGAGUAAGCUCAACAUCAUAGCAAAAAUGUUGCUCGUGAGGAGGACUAAGAUUUGGCUUUGAGCUUUGAUUCUACGACGUUUUACUCGCUAUGAAUCUAAACAUUUUGUAAGUAAAGCGUGAAGCUUAUGUCGAAAUCAUAUUAUAGCUACUAAAAUAAGUAGAAUGUCUAAUCUCUUAGAUCAACAAUAUAAUAUUAAUAGGCUACAUCUUUAUAAAAAUUAAGGCUAGUAUUUA